ACAUCCCGGCAGCCUCGCCAGGCCCAGAACUCUCUCCAGUCAGCCUCUACAGACCAAGCUCAUGACUCACAAUGGCCUAUUGAGGCCCAUACCCUACCUCACGGCAUUCUCCGCAGAUGAGCCUACUGCCUCACAACAGCCUCCACAGGCACAGCUCCAUCGUUACAAUGGUCUCUUUAGACCCAGCUCCUGCCUCCCAGCCUUCUCUCCAGGCCCUGAACUUUCUCCGUGGGACCAUCCAGUUUCAGGAAAACAAGCUGAACACGCCCACUGAUUCUACAUUAUGCUCCUACCUCCCGGCAGCCUCGCCAGGCCCAGAACUCUCUCCAGUCAGCCUCUACAGACCAAGCUCAUGACUCACAAUGGCCUAUUGAGGCCCAUACCCUACCUCACGGCAGUCUCCGCAGAUGAGCCUACUGCCUCACAACAGCCUCCACAGGCACAGCUCCAUCGUUACAAUGGCCUCUUUAGACCCAGCUCCUGCCGCCCAGCCUUCUCUCCAGGCCCUGAGCUUUCUCAAGUCGACCUCACCAGGCCCAGCUCAUGCUUCUUUGCAGCCUCUCCAGGCCCAGCUCCUGCAUCUUGGUGGCCCCUCCAGGCCCAGCCUCUGCCUCCCGUCGGCCUCUACAGUCGUAACAUCUACCUCACAGCAGAUUCUUCAGGCCCAGCAUCUGCCUCACUGUGGAUCCCCCAAGCCAAGCUCCCAACCUUUCAGCAGCUUCUACACACCCAGCUCCCGCCUGCCAGUGGCCUCUUCAGGCCCAUGGGGCUCAUUCCUCACAACAGCCUUUCCAGGCCCAGUUUUUCCCUUCCGGCGGCCUCUCUGGGCUGAGAACCUCCUCAGGUCGGCCUCUCCAGACCCACUUGCACCCUCCGGGCAUCCUCUGCGGGCCAAGCUCCUCUUCCUGUCUGCGUCUCCAGGCCCGACUCCUGCCUCUCAACAAGCUCUUUGGACUCAGUGCCUACCCAUCUCCUGGCAUCCUUGGUCAGCCCACAGCUUCCUCAAGCCAAGCUCCCCAGGCCCAGGUCAGGACUCACGGUGGCCUCUCCAGGAUGAGCUCCUGCACUCCGAUGGCACCUGCAGGCCCCAAAUGGUCUCCGGUCGGUGGGCUUCUCCACGCCAAACUUGGGCCUCCCAGCGACCUCUGCAGGCCCAAGUUGUCCUGAAGUCGGCAUCUCCCGGCCGUGCCUCCCAGCAAGUAAGCAAGCUCUUUUGGCUCAACUCCUGCCCAGCUCCCAACCGCCUUUGUAGGUCCCGAACUUUCUCCAGCCAAGUUCUUCGGGCCUAAUUCCUGCCGCCCGGUGGCCUGUACGGGCCCAGCAAUGGUUGGAGAGUGGCCUCUGCAGGUCCCGCUCUUGCCUCCCAGGGGCCUCUCCAGGCCCAG